rnacentral:rRNA from 1 species
CCUACGGGAGGCAGCAGUAAGGAAUAUUGGUCAAUGGACGAAAGUCUGAACCAGCCAUGCCGCGUGAAGGAUUAAGGCCCUCUGGGUUGUAAACUUCUUUUAUCUGGGACGAAAAAAGGGUAUUCUUACUCACUUGACGGUACCAGAGGAAUAAGCACCGGCUAACUCCGUGCCAGCAGCCGCGGUAAUACGGAGGGUGCAAGCGUUAUCCGGAUUUACUGGGUUUAAAGGGUGCGUAGGUGGGUUUGUAAGUCAGUGGUGAAAUCUCCGAGCUUAACUCGGAAACUGCCAUUGAUACUAUAGAUCUUGAAUUAUCUGGAGGUAAGCGGAAUAUGUCAUGUAGCGGUGAAAUGCUUAGAUAUGACAUAGAACACCAAUUGCGAAGGCAGCUUACUACGGAUAUAUUGACACUGAGGCACGAAAGCGUGGGGAUCAAACAGGAUUAGAUACCCUGGUAGUCCACGCCCUAAACGAUGGAUACUCGACAUCAGCGAUACACUGUUGGUGUCUGAGCGAAAGCAUUAAGUAUCCACCUGGGAAGUACGAUCGCAAGAUUGAAACUCAAAGGAAUUGACGG